rnacentral:rRNA from 1 species
CCUACGGGUGGCAGCAGUGAGGAAUAUUGGUCAAUGGCCGAAAGGCUGAACCAGCCAAGUCGCGUGAGGGAAGAAUGUCCUAGGGAUUGUAAACCUCUUUUGUCAGGGAGCAAAGUCACCCACGUGUGGGUGUUGGAGAGUACCUGAAGAAAAAGCAUCGGCUAACUCGGUGACAGCAGACGCGGUAAGACGGGGGAUGCGAGCGUUAUCCGGAUUUAUGGGGUUUAAAGUGUGCGUAGGCGGGCAUUUAAGCCGGCGGUCAAAUGACGGGGCUAAACCCCGGCCUGCCGUCGGAACUGGGUGGCUUGAGUGGGCGAGAAGUAUGUGGAAUGCGAGGUGUAGCGGUGAAAUGCAUAGAUAUCACGCAGAACCCCGAUUGCGAAGGCAGCAUACCGGCGCGCUACUGACGCUGAGGCACGAAAGUGCGGGGAUCGAACAGGAUUAGAUACCCCAGUAGUC